rnacentral:rRNA from 1 species
GAUGAACGCUGGCGGCGUGCCUAAUACAUGCAAGUCGAGCGACCGGACGAGAAGCUUGCUCCUCUGCUGUUAGCGGCGGACGGGUGAGUAAGACGUGGAUAACCUACUUAUAAGACUGGGAUAACUUCGGGAAACCGGAGCUAAUACCGGAUAAUAUUUUGAACCGCAUGGUUCAAAAGUGCAAGACGCUUCUGCCGUCACUUAUAGAUGGAUCCGCGCUGCAUUAGCUAGUUGGUAAGGUAACGGCUUACCAAGGCAACGAUGCAUAGCCGACCUGAGAGGGUGAUCGGCCACACUGGAACUGAGACACGGUCCAGACUCCUACGGGAGGCAGCAGUAGGGAAUCUUCCGCAAUGGGCGAAAGCCUGACGGAGCAACACCGCGUGAGUGAUGAAGGUCUUCGGAUCGUAAAACUCUGUUAUUAGGGAAGAACAUAUGUGUAAGUAACUGUGCACAUCUUGACGGUACCUAAUCAGAAAGCCACGGCUAAUUACGUG